CUCAGACACCACGGCUGGCACCUGGCGGGGACCGCCGAGAUCCAGAGCGAGACGAAAGCGAAGUACCCGGGCUGGCUCCCCGCGCCGCUGCGCGCCCCCUCGCCCGGCGUGCCGCAGCCCCUGGAGCUCGCCGACCACCUCUGCGGGGGCCCUUCGCAGGUAGCCGAGCGCGGGACAGCGCUGGCACCCUGCGAGAUUCGGGACCGGCCUAGGGGCAUAGCUGGGGAGACUGGCUACAGAGCCAGGUAGUUGCGUGGACUUGUUGAGGCGGGACCAGGACUCAAAAUCCAGGCUUGCAGGUGGCCGGCCUGUAGGUAGGGAGUGCGCCUGGACUAUUCCGAGAGGGGUUGGGGUGGGAGGUGGGCAUCAGGCCUUCCUGGGGAGGAAGAGAUGAAGUGGACUUGAUGCCCAAGAAGCAGAGAGAUCUGGUGGCCAGAGAAGGCUGGCACUGGGGGUGGAACCAAGGAGAUUUGCUGGGGCUGGGGCUUGAAUCCCUUGGACUUGGGGGUGUGACUGGCAGGGGUUCUUAUUUGGGGAGCCAGGCUAAAGUCCCUGGCGCGGGACUGAUCAGGGAAGAUCAGAUUCUGGGGACCCAGAGCUGGGGGAUCUACGAUAGGGGUUCUGAGGUGGGGACCCAGGGCCUGGGACGGGUACAGACGUCUGCACACUCCUCCUACCGCGGUCUUCCUCAGGCCCUCAUCCCCUGGACCAGGAACACGGAGCUGGCCGGCCAGCCCUUCAUGGUGUCUGACCAGGGCGUCCUGAACCGACACCAGCCCUACCUGACCACUACCGCCCGGGACUUCCGCUACUACACGAAGAAGGAGCUGUCCGGAUACCCGCGCAAGGACUCGCUGACCUACUGGAACUUCGAGCAGACGCCCCGGGUCUGGGCCGAUGGCCCGCAGCGGGCACCCUGUUCGCCUUUCCCUCAGCCCUCGCGGGUCCGCGUGCCCCGCGCCGCCGGCCGUGCCGCACCGCGGGGCCCUGCCCUUGGCUCGGGAGUCCUUCUGCCCCCCGCUGCACGCACUGCGCCGCCUCGACCUUUCCUGUCCUCUGGAGGCGCCCUGGGGAGGUCCCCACUGGAGGCCCCUGCCGGGCAUCUACAGCACGCCCAAAGCCUACAGCACCGAGAGCUCCCGCUACGGCAGCGGGAGGCCGGAGCUCGUGUGAGCGCGCCUGCCCACGGGGCCAGCCCGGCCGGGACUCCCCCGAGCAGCGGAGACAGCGCCCGGACUGGGACACGCCCACUCAACCACUUGGUGUGGGCGGGGCUACCCUUGAACACGCCCCCCAGCUCGCGGCGGGAGGGACUGAGACUGGAGAGGGGGCCAGGGCUCACCCCGUCCAAGAGUUAA
rnacentral:lncRNA from 1 species